rnacentral:misc_RNA from 1 species
GAUGAAGAACGUAGCGAAAUGCGAUACGUAAUGUGAAUUGCAGAAUUCAGUGAAUCAUCGAAUCUUUGAACGCAUAUUGCGCUCUUUGGUAUUCCGAAGAGCAUGCUUGUUUGAGUAUCAGUAAACACCUCAACCUCUUCUUGAUUUUUCAAAAGGAGGGUGGACUUGAGCUAUCCCAACAACCUUUACCGGUCGGCGGGCGGCUUGAAAUGCAGGUGCAGCUGGACUUUUAUCUGAGCCAAAAGCAUAUCUAUUUAGUCCUCGUCAAACAGGAUUAUUACUUUUGCUGCAGCUAACAUAAAGGAUAAUUGUCCUCUUUGCUGACUGAUGCAGGAUUUUACGACACUUUAUGUGUUGUUCAACUCGAUCUCAAAUCAAGUAAGACUACCCGCUGAACUUAAGCAUAUCAAUAAGCGGAGGA